UCCUACGGGACGCAGCAGUAGGGAAUCUUCCACAAUGGACGAAAGUCUGAUGGAGCAACGCCGCGUGAGUGAAGAAGGGUUUCGGCUCGUAAAGCUCUGUUGGUAGUGAAGAAAGAUAGAGGUAGUAACUGGCCUUUAUUUGACGGUAAUUACUUAGAAAGUCACGGCUAACUCCGUUCCAGCAGCCGCGGUAAUACGUAGGGGGCAAGCGUUGUCCGGAUUUAUUGGGCGUAAAGGGAGUGCAGGCGGU
rnacentral:rRNA from 1 species